GGAAGAUGGGAGCUGAGGAGGUGACAUCCCCUAGGAGUUCUGGGAGCUAAAGAAAGAGAAACUGGAGACCUGAGAAGUUAAUUAACAUGCUCAACGUCACAUGAUUGGGACAUGUCCUGGAUGAGGGUGAAACCGGAUGCGCCUUGGAAGUUUCAGAUGACACCACCCCUAAGUUU